rnacentral:rRNA from 1 species
UUCAACGACUGUGCAACUGUCUUAAUCAUCUAUUCAGUGAAAUUGAAAGAGCGGUGAAGAUGCCGUUUAAUUACAUCAGGACAAAUAGACCCCAUGAAGCUUUACUGGAUCUUUACAUUGAUAAGAAUCUAAAUAUUGUCGAGCGUAGGAGGGAGACUUCGGUCACCAAUGGAACACCUCCCUUGUUUAUUUUUGAAUCUAAUCCACUCCGAUGGAUCUCGGAGGGUAACAGUGUAUGGUUGCUAGUUUGCCUGGGGCAGGCACCUGCAAAAAAGUAACGCGGGUAUACAAAGGUCAACUUGGUCCGGCUAGAAAUCGGACCAGAAGUACAAAAGCAAAAGUUGGCUUGACUGUGAGACUUACAAGUCGAAUAGCACUAGUUUACUAGAGCUACUCCGGGGCUUGACGCCCGGAGCAGGGUCGAAAGACGGUUUUAGUGAUCCUCGUGACCUAUUUGGUAUAGGCACGGGCUUACUGGAUAAAAGCUACUCUGGGGAUAACAGGCUGGUCGCAUCCGAUAGUUCACAUUGACGAUGCGGUUCGGCACCUCGAUGUCGUCUUGGCGCAUCCUGGCCCUGAAGAAGGGGCCAAGGGUUGGUCUGUUCGCCCAUUAAAGCGCUGCGUUAGAUGGGUUCAGAGCGUCGCGAGACAGCUCGGUCUCUAUCCGAUGUAAUCGUUCGUUUCUUGAAGGGAUUCGUCUACAGUACGAGAGGACCUAGACGAGGGAACCGCUUGUGUGCCAGUUGUGCCGUCAGGUGCAUUGCUGGGUAGCUACGUUCCUAUUAGAUAACUGCUGAAAGCAUCUCAAGCAGGAAACUUACCCUAAGAUAAGGAAACGUUUCCGCCUCAUUGACGGAGGGAGAUCGCCGGGAGACUACCGGUUAAUACUCUGCAAGUGGAAGAUCCGUAAGGAUUUAAGCUAAGCAGUGGAAAGAUCGAAGAAAAACUUAA